rnacentral:misc_RNA from 1 species
UAAAUUAUGUUCUACGUGCUUUAUCGAUUUGAUAUAUUGAAGAUAAAUAAUUUAAAAGGCAAUGGUUGCAUCAAAUGAGAAUAGGUCAUUGAAAAUCACUUGCAAGGAGAGGGUGUGGAGGACUUACUAGUUUUUGGGAUCGUAUUAGAUUUCAACUGUUACAGUUAAAAACAAGAACAGAAAAGAGAGUUGAACUGUUACUUUGUACAGUUUCACAAUGUUUGAUUGAUUGGCCCGAAAACGGGAAAGCGACCGCAGAAGACACGGCAUAAGAUUCCUUCCCUGUACCGAAAGAAUGGUAGUGAGAUGAUUUUAACUGAUUACAUAUGAUGGAGUGGUGGGUCCUAUUUUCACCAUUGAAGGAGAGAGAGAGAGUGGGGUCUCACUUGGCUAAAACAGCUGCAGCUGUGUCUUCUUCAUAUUCCCUCAUUAUCCAAAUCUUGUUAUUGUUAACCAAAGAUCUAUAUACUGCAUACUAGUCUUCUGCUUCUCAUUUUAUCAUCUUUUUGUUCUUUUUCUUCUCUCAAUAGCAGAAAAGAGAAACAUAGAUAGAGACCCGUCUCUGGGUUCAUCAAAAGGAAAGCUGUUUGAGAUCUGGCUGGUACUUUAUUUCCUUUUUUUCUAAUUUAUGGACCCAAUUACAAGAUUUGCUUUUUCUUCCACUUGUUUUAUGUAAUUUCGUUCUCUGUUUCUUUUUUCUUUUGGGUAUUAAUGGCUUUGUUCAAGAUGGGUUCUUGCUGAAUACAGCAUUGCUUGGAAUUGGCUGUUUGUCGAUAGCC